GAUGAACGCUGGCGGCGUGCUUAACACAUGCCAGUCGAACGAUGAAGCCCAGCUUGCUGGGUGGAUUAGUGGCGAACGGGUGAGUAACACGUGAGUAACCUGCCCUUAACUCUGGGAUAAGCCUGGGAAACUGGGUCUAAUACCGGAUAGGAGCGUCCACCGCAUGGUGGGUGUUGGAAAGAUUUAUCGGUUUUGGAUGGACUCGCGGCCUAUCAGCUUGUUGGUGAGGUAAUGGCUCACCAAGGCGACGACGGGUAGCCGGCCUGAGAGGGUGACCGGCCACACUGGGACUGAGACACGGCCCAGACUCCUACGGGAGGCAGCAGUGGGGAAUAUUGCACAAUGGGCGAAAGCCUGAUGUAGCGACGCCGCGUGAGGGAUGACGGCCUUCGGGUUGUAAACCUCUUUCAGUAGGGAAGAAGCGAAAGUGACGGUACCUGCAGAAGAAGCACCGGCUAACUACGUG
rnacentral:rRNA from 1 species